AAAAACCAAACAUCGAUCAAUCAAUCACUCUUGUUCCUUUUCGUUGAAGAGCGAUUCAGAAAUAAUUAGCUUUAUUCAACUAACCAAGAAAUCAUCGAAUUAGAAGAAAAAAACUGAACAAAUGAGUUUAUCACCAACACCAAGGGUUCGGUCUGGGAGAAUGGCCGAAAUCCAUGAAGAUGCUACCUGCAAUUCUGGUUGUGGUAACUUGUUCGGUGAGAAAUUCAAAUACCCAUCUUCCAUCAAAAAGAUCACAAACUCCAGGAGGCGAUUCGCUUUCUUCAGUAAUGUUCUUGGGACCGUGAAGAAGUUAAAAUGGAUAUACUUGUUGAAGAUCUUCCAUCAUUUUUAAAAAGCUUUAGCACCUUGCAAAACCAUAUCAACUUGAACAACAUUUAGCUGAUGAGAACGAAAGGCUUGCUUUGAAAGCGGCUUUAGACAAUGCUGUUACACAACUAGUUCAAUCUCAUGCAAAGACAGUUGGGGAUCAAUCAGGCGCUUCCUCACUGAAAUUCGAAAGACAAAAACAAGAUGUAAUGCUGGAAAAUCAAGUUACUUCUACAAAGAGCAGACUGUGUUCUAACUGUGGAAAAAUUAAGAAGCUCGAGACCGCAGGGGCCAAGGUGAUGACUGAACUAGAUAUCAUACAAAGGUUUAAAGCUGCUGGUCAUAUAGGAGACGAUAAAGUUUUUCCAAGGAAAGAGAUGAAAAACCAUUCAGCUUCGUCAAUUGGUUCUCAAACUCAACCUACAAACUCCAGCGGGUCGUGUACUAGUAGCGAAAAGUUGGACUCACCUCCGCACCGUGUUAUGCAGUUGGAUCAUCAUGGCAUUUAUAGGUCCAUAUCUCCGAGUAGAACUCCGGGAACCCACUAUGCACAUAGCACCGGCAGUUCCACAUCAGACAGUAGUUCUGAGGAGGAGGACUACCCAGUUAGAAGCCGGAGCCGAUAUUCCAAGGAUGAUCCACCACGUAGGACCAGCAGUUCCACAUCAUACAGUAGUUCCCAAGAGGAGGACUACCCAGUUAGAAGGAGUCGAUAUUCCAAGGCGGAUCCACCACAGAAAAAGACGGGACAUGUUAGAAGAUUUAUGAACAAGAUUGCAGGCAUGUUCCAUCAUGAUCGCCUUGAGGAUACAGAUGCAUCAUCGUCGGAUCAUCGUCAUCAUUCUGCUCUGAAACCUGUGGGAAAUGGUAUACUUCGCCACAAACACAAAGAGAAACGCAUGCAAAAGAGAAGAACAGCAUCAGUUAACAAGCCAAAGAGAUUUCCGAACACUCGUAGAAAGGCAUCACACGGGUUAGAACUGUAAGUUAAUGACGACACCAAAAAUUUGCCUGUUAUCUUCUCUGUUCUCUCCUUAUGUCAGGCUAGAGCUCUUCUAAAAUAGGAUUUUUUCCUCAAAGAAUUAAACAUCAAUGUCAUUUCAUCUUUUUUAUGUUUUUCAUCUCUUUCUAAAUUCUUAUCUUGUAAUUUCCUAGAAAACUUUUCGGUUUCUUUGAUUGUGAUUUUUUGGGUGCUUCAGCCUUCAUGGAAAUUGCUUGUAACCGCACCUCCCUUUGCUAUAUUUUCCUAUUUUUGAAUUAUUCUUGUUGGACUUAUUCACAAUGAGCUUACAGUAUCAUUCAUCCUGUAAGUUUGUCAUUGUUCCUUACGUAACCUCAGUGUUAGUACCUGGAUUAUCUUUUCUUUUCUUUUUUUGUCUGAAGAGAACCACCCCCUACUAAGCAUCUUGUACAGAGUCCGGACUUAUAACUUCUCUCAAGUGAUUGCACCAGAAGUAUCUGCUUUGGGAUAGACUGUUUCAUGCUUUAGUGUGUUAAGGCUGUUAAGCAAUUGCACCCAGAAUCAUGCAUCAUUCUCUAUGUUUUCUAUUUGGAUUCUCUGUUUAUCCUCAGCAAUCUUCGAAUGGAGAACCUAUCAACUUCAACAAAAUUUAGCUGAUGAGAAUGAAAAACUUGUGUUGAAAGGGGCUUUAGACAAUGCUGUUACACAACUGGUUCAAUCUCAUCUAAAGGUACAUGCAUCCAACAAGGUUAUUUCGUUUCCAUAAUUGUUAUUUAUACUUGAGGUUUAAGAGUAAACAUACUCAGUUAAAGGGCCGAUGGAGACAUAAAAAGAAACAUUUGAGUGUGGCACUAUUUUGUGACAAUGGGUAAUUGCGCUAUUCUGUGAGCACAUGUUGGUAUAUGAUUACACUGUAAAUAUCAAAAGGUUUUGACAUUAGUGUUCUGAUUGCUUUUUGUUUUCAUUUGGAGCUCAGGCUGUUGUGGAAACUCUAUUUGUAUGUUGUUACUUUUUGCGACUCUGUGGGGUAAUAAUUUUUGCUUAAAAUUAUUUGAAUAAUGGGCAGGAGAAGGGAAAUGAAAAUGUGUCAAAUUUGGUAAAUAUCCAAGGAUUAACUUAGAUAAAUCUUCCUAGUUUAAUUUUAUCUUUGAGAUUGUUGUGUGUUGUGCAUUCAUAACGUAUCCACUUAAAUCAUCUUUUAAUUUUCAUAUUACAUAAGGAGAAGCGCUCCUCUCAUGCUCUGGAAACUGAAUUGUGAAAUGUUGGGAUCCAGGUUUGGUCUUUCUCUUGUCUGCCAACUUUACAAUCUGGGCACAUAUGUUUUUUCCUUCUAGUCCAGCAUAUAUCUGAUGAGCAUAUACAUUUUCAGGCUUUAGGAUGUGUAUGUAUCUCUUUGUUCGAUGUGAAUGAACCUGCUCACCAGAUAAGUGAAUUCUGGAUGUUGUAGCAGAGGUGCAUGCCUCAGAAAAUAAUGCUUGUCCUGAUUGCAGUUUGUUGGUAAAAACCCAAAUGAUUAAGUAACAUCGAUCUAACUCUGCGUUCGCCACUGGUUAUUUUCUCCACAUUCUUUUUCGCAUUAUUUGUCGAGUUUCCUGCCAUCAUUGAUUUUAUUCUUCUUGUUGCUUCUGCUCUUCAUCCUGCAGCUCUUGUUGUUUUAGUUACUUUCACUGUGGUUCUUGUUGCAGUCUGGUGGUUCUUCUUGUUGCCCCAUUUUCAACUGUUCUAGUUUUCGUUGUAUUCUCAGUCUUUGUUGUAGUGGAUGUUCUCUUCUUAGGUCAAUUUGGCAUGGUUGUAUUCUCAGUCUUCGUUGUAAUGGAUAUUCUCAGUCUUCGUCUUGCACCUCUUGUUAUGUUUCUGCAGUUAAUGUGAUGCAUAUCCGAAUUCAUUGAUGGGAUGACAAUUGCUUAGUGCAUGGUGGUUGUUUUGUUCGCUGUUAUGUAUGAUUUGCAAAUUUGAAUGUCGCUUUGCCGCUCCUGACAUUCUUGCACUUCUGGAUAUCUUUUCUUUCAAACUAAACAAAACUAAAUAAUUUUUUGCUGAUUUUCAUACGGAUGAUGCUGUUGAUCCUUCUGCUACUAGAGCAAGUUUUUCAAGAACCCUUAAAAUCAAAUCCUUUCAGUACAGUUGAACUACUCUUCCCUUAUUUGUCAGAGAUAGCAUGGCACCUCAAUCUAGCUUGUGAAAGAGAGAACAUCCAAUGUCCUGGGGAUGGGCUGGAACUCCUUAGUUUUCAUCACUGAUGUAGUGAUAUUAUUAUAGUGGGUUAAAAAGUGCUUGUGCACUUCUUCAUCCAGCCUUAACAGCGUCCCUUGUUCUUGCGGAUGCAGAGUUCAGUUUUGGCAUUACCAGUAGAACAGUGAGAGAUUGUAUUAAUUCUCUUUUGAUUAUCUACUCUCCUUUUUUUACCUGGAGAUAUUUCAGGCAAGUAAUUGUAGUAUUUCUGAUUCCGCGGGACGAAAAUGCCAUUGGAAAUGCUGGAUAGAUGUGGGUUUAUAAAUUUCUUGCCUCUUGGUGGGUUGGUUGCAAGCUCACAGCAGAAGCAGCAAUGAUGAAAUGAAAGAGAAGAUCCCAAAUUCCAAGGAUUCUGAGCUUAAUCUUGAGAAGCAAAGAAUACCAAAAGACGGUGAAACUAGUUUGCAACUACGAGAGCUUCCUGGCGCCGGAAAAUCUUUUUGAGGGAGAACAAAGUAAUGGUGAAGGUAGUUUUUUGAAGAUGGACUAUAUGAAGACAUUGGAGGCUUUAGUGUCUUGAAAUGGUUCAGUUGUGGGAAGAGAAGAUAAAGAUGGCAGAGAAACAAAGGACUUGGUGGGAUGCAGAAAUUUAAGGCUGAAAUGCAGGAGCAAGGUCAGAUUUUUCAAGCAGCAAAAUCAAAGGUUAGGGCAAUUGAGGGUGUGUUAAGGAUGUAGCAGAAAUGCAGCUGAGUGCAGCAAAGGAUGAACUGCGAGGCAAAGUUUCUGGCUUAAUCAUGGAGCUAGAUACUGAAAUGUACUUACAAGUGGGUGAAAAUUUACUUUCUGAUGGAGUGUUUCGCACUAUCUACUGAGAAGCUUUAAGCGACUUUUCUUAAAUUUACUGUCACUGCUCUAACUUGUAACAAGAGUGUAUAGUGGUUCCAUGGUUAUCUUUUUGUGCGCAAAAGAACAUUCUGUUAAUUUUAAUGAAUGUAGAAGUAUGUCUGUUGUUG